CAAUGGGGGAAACCCUGACCGAGCAACGCCGCGUGAAGGAAGAAGUAAUUCGUUAUGUAAACUUCUGUCAUAGAGGAAGAACGGUGGAUAUAGGGAAUGAUAUCCAAGUGACGGUACUCUAUAAGAAAGCCACGGCUAACUACGUGCCAGCAGCCGCGGUAAUACGUAGGUGGCGGGCGUUAUCCGGAAUUAUUGGGCGUAAAGAGGGAGCAGGCGGCACUAAGGGUCUGUGGUGAAAGAUCGAAGCUUAACUUCGGUAAGCCAUGGAAACCGUAGAGCUAGAGUGUGUGAGAGGAUCGUGGAAUUCCAUGUGUAGCGGUGAAAUGCGUAGAUAUAUGGAGGAACACCAGUGGCGAAGGCGACGAUCUGGCGCAUAACUGACGCUCAGUCCCGAAAGCGUGGGGAGCAAAUAGGAUUAGAUACCCUAGUAGUCCACGCCGUAAACGAUGAGUACUAAGUGUUGGGUGUCAAAGCUCAGUGCUGCAGUUAACGCAAUAAGUACUCCGCCUGAGUAGUACGUUCGCAAGAAUGAAACUCAAAGGAAUUGACGGGGGCCCGCACAAGCGGUGGAGCAUGUGGUUUAAUUCGAAAGCAACGCGAAGAACCUUACCAGGUCUUGACAUCGAUCUAAAGGCUCCAGAGAUGGAGAGAUAGCUAUAGAGAAGACAGGUGGUGCAUGGUUGUCGUCAGCUCGUGUCGUGAGAUGUUGGGUUAAGUCCCGCAACGAGCGCAACCCCUGU
rnacentral:rRNA from 1 species